AAUAUAAAAAUUUAUUUUAAAAGCAAUCAAAAUCCACACAGUGUAGUCAUUAAAAUCAGUGAGUGAAGCAAAGUGAACAAAGGAGGGACAGGUGUUUUAAGAAAAGGUCCCUGUCAGCUACAGAGCUGGAAUGGAAGAGCACAGGGGGAGAACAGCACAGGAGAAUGUGACUCCAAGUGAGAAAACUGCUCUUGUUAGUACAUAAGUUGGUCUCCCCAGGCUGUCUACUCUCCUUUACCUCUCUGUUUGUUGGGGCUCAUUAUUUCUGUUCUGUUGUUGAUGAUAGCUUCUACACAGAGGGUAAGAGUAACUGCUGAAAAACUGCUAGUGUGGAGGUCAGCUGGGAAACUCGGUUAGUAAUCCCAGAGUAAGGCAAUGGAGAUCUGAAUUUGUGAAAUGUCUGAAUAUGGCAAACGAGGGAAGGAUCUGAGGCCACUGAGAGGAAAUAGAUAGGCGUUUAGCAACUGCUAACCAUGCAGAUUUUCAUUAAGCCUGUGAUGUGGACAACAGAGCAUAUUCAAGCAAUCCUCUUACUAACACGCAAUUGGCUCACACAAUUAUAAGGACUGAGAAGUCCCAGGAUCUGAAGUCAGUAAGCUGGAGAUCCAGGGAAAAGAUCUGAGAACCAAGAGACCUAAUGGUGUGAGUUCCAGUCUGAAAGCUGGCAGAUUUGAGACUCAAGAAGAGGUGACCUUUAGCUCAAAUCCAAAGGAUUUUUUGGUGCCACUUCGACAGCUGGAAACUUCUGUGGCUGGUGGAGCCUCUUUUCGUUUGUUUCUGUUGCCCUGGACUGGCAUGGCUGCCUGGCACUGGCGGAUGACAAAGGGCUACAGUGUUACAGUUUUUUUCAUACCCUCAUUUGGAGGGUCCCAGGUUCUUGUCCCACAUCCAAGAAAAAUGAAGUUAUGCAGAAAACCAAAGAGUGAUCGAGGUGGAGAAGAAGUUUAUUGAGUGACAGAAGAGCUCUUGACAAUGAGAGGAGACCUGAAAGCAAAUAGCUCAACAUGUGACUGAGUCUGGGGGUUUUUAUGGGCUGAGAACAGGUGAGUGCAUGCUGAUUGGUUUGUGAGUAUGCAAAAAAAGCUAAAAAAAAUGCACCACUCAAAGAUAGACACAACAGUGCAAAAAACCAAUUAGGGACAGGUAGGUAUGUGUAGAAUAGGUGAAGGGUAGGAAUCAAUCUGAGGAAAGUGCUCCAAACUGGAAGAGAGCUUCUCAAUCCAGUCAAUGGAUUUAUCUGAGAUUUGUAGCUUGGUUUUCAGGCUUAACACUGUCUUUGGCUUGAAGGUCAGGUAUCACCAAAGAACAGCCCUUGUCUGCCCAGAAUUUGUCUGCCUCCUGCUGCUAUCAUAUCCACAUAUAUUCAUACAGACACACAGACACACAGAAAAUGAGAGAGAAAGGCAGUAAGUUAGAAGAUAGAGAUUGAGAGACAAAGGUACAGAAAAACCCCGAAAAGGAUGUUUCUCUGUAUGGAUGGAUUUUCCCUAUGAAGAAAGGAUCUUCAUAUUUAUAUAAUUAUAUUCAUGCAUUUACUUAUUCAUUCAUUGUUAGCUUAUUAUUAAUUUUAUGGUAUGUGAUGAUUUAGACUUUUGGAAUAUAAUGAUGAAUAAAAUUUUAUUUCUAUGAUCAAUACAUGAGUUAUAGUUUGGAAAAUCAAUGUGCAAAUUAAAUGUCAAAAACUGACUGAUGCUUAAAUUUUCCAAAUAAGCAAAAUAGGUCAUAUUGUAAGUAUUAUUUACUUACAUAAUAUAUCAUAUACACAUGUAUGUGGAAAUGGAUCUAAAAUUUACCAUAACUUUUUUUCUAUUUUGUAAACUCAGAUUAUCAUAUUUUUCUUAAAUGUAUCUGCAAUUAGGACUCCCGUAUAUAUUUGUGGCCAAGUGUAGAGAUUAAUUCUCACUUUAGUUUGUUAAAGUUAAUGUUAGAACUAUUAGAAAGCUAACCCAAGACAGAAAUUCUCUCUGUAAACAAUUGAAUAGAUUACAGCAUGAUAUGCUGAGUAGCGCUAAUUAUCAAUUCAUCACUUCUUACCUCCAAAUCCAAGUUACACUGGCAGUUCUGCAAAAGUGGGGGUAGGCCUCUAAAUAUACAUACAUAGAUGCACGCACAUAUGUAUUUGCCAUAUGGCUAGAUAUUAACCUUUGUCAAAAAACGAUGAUGUAACGACACUGCUGGACCUUCUCUCCAGGUUCUAGUGUGCUCCCCUUGGCACCAGGGGGGUUUUCUGGUGCCUUCAGUGAAAUGCAUGCCUUGUCCAGUGCUCCACACUGGCAGCAUAUGUGGCUUUCUUGUGUUCUUGCAGAACAGGCAAUUUCUCCAGGACCUGUAUCCUUUCUCUAGGUCUGGGAUCCCACAAUGCAAGCAACUGUGCCAUCAUCCAAAUUCUUCAGUACACAGUUUACAGAACUCAGAGGCCAGCAGAUUCCUCUGGCACUCUUUCUUGGGUAGUUUUGGAGUAAAGUGGUUUGGAGUAAAGUGCCACCAGUGAGAUAUGCUCCCAUGAGUAGCUUUUUCUGGCACCCUGGAGAGCAGAUUUCCUGCCAGUUCUGCCAUCAGAGAACUACAGACACCUUUGUGAUAUUCAGUAGCCAUGGCCAUGUCCUCCUCUACAAAGGCUGGGUCUAAGUCCUGGAGAAGGAGCAAGUUUGCCUCGCAUGUUCCAGCCCAGUCCAGAAAGUAGUGGCUGUACUUUCUCUCUGUGCUCUUAUGUUCUUUGCAGUUCUCUUUACUACUCUCUACGCCUUACUAAGCAAUAUCCCCUUAUUCCAACCACCUGUUACAGUUAAUCAUUCUUUAUAUUAAACUUUCCUUGUUCAAAUUACUAUGUGGUUUCUUAUAUAUAAUAGAUAUAUUAUUGAAUAAUUAGAUAGAAUAUAAUAACCAGACUAAAAAUGAUGAUGUGGUUAAGUUCUGUUUACUGAUGUUAUUUUACAUCUUUAUACUAGACAAGUCAUAAAACAUGGAACCUGAGAAAGUUACAAUCACUUCAGCACCUACAUAUAUUUUUUAAAAACAAGAUUGUUGACUUAAUAAGCCCUGUCGAUGGUGGUCAGAAUGGCGACCAUCUCCAAACCAAAAUAUAUAGUUACGC
rnacentral:lncRNA from 10 species